CUUGCCAAUAAUUCAUAAUUCUCAUCUACUACAAGUUGGCAAAGAGGACCAAAUGGAAAUUGGCCAAACUCGUGCUCCUCCUCCAUCCUAUCUUGGAUGGUCUUACUUCAGUGCUCUUUGUUGCUGUCUGCCUCUUGGGGCUUUUGCCAUUCGUUACUCUAAGAAGGUGAAGGCUGCAAACGAACAGGGAGAAAUAGCUCUAGCUGAGGAUGCAUCACGAACUGCCAUGGCCUUGAACAUCGCUUCAGUCAUCCUGGGAAGCAUUUUCAUCACCAUCUUUGUUAUUUACAAAGUCCAAGAAAUUCAGGAAUUAAAAAAACAACAUUGAAGGUCCUUGCUUUGGGAAGAAGACAUGCCGCAAUUUUACUGUCUGCGUUCUCUCUUCAGCAUCCAUCUCUAAAUACAAAGUAAUAUCUUUACAUGCUUGUUCACCUCUGUGUAUUGCUUUAAUUGGUUGUCAAUACAAAUAACAAAAGAAUGCCUUGACCUCAACAUGGUACAUGCCAAAAAUAUGUAUGAGUUGUUAAAUGAAAUAUGUCUCUGGAUUUAUGUAUUCUGUGUUGUAGGUUAUAUAAAACUAAUUAAAUGAU